GCGGCAAUUAUUAUAUUUCGAGUC
rnacentral:siRNA from 1 species